AUUGAACGCUAGCGGGAUGCCUUACACAUGCAAGUCGAACGAGUGGCGAACGGGUGAGUAAUGUAUCGGAACGUGCCCCGUAGCGGGGGAUAACUACGAGAAACGUAGCUAAUACCGCAUACUCUUGGAGCGGCCGAUAUCGGAUGUGCUAGUUGGUGGGGUAACGGCUCACCAGGGCGACGAUCCGUAGCUGGUUUGAGAGGACGACCAGCCCCACUGGUACUGCGAAACGGCCCAGCCUCCUACGGGAGGCAGCAGUGGGGAAUUUUGGACAAUGGGGGAAACCCUGAUCCAGCCAUCCCGCGUGUGCGAUGAAGGCCUUCGGGUUGUAAAGCACUUUUGGCAGGAAGGCGGUACCUGCAGAAUAAGCACCGGCUAACUACGUGCCAGCAGCCGCGGUAAUAC
rnacentral:rRNA from 1 species